rnacentral:rRNA from 1 species
UACGAAGGGGGCUAGCGUUGCUCGGAAUCACUGGGCGUAAAGCGCACGUAGGCGGCUUUCUAAGUCAGGGGUGAAAUCCUGGAGCUCAACUCCAGAACUGCCCUUGAUACUGAGGAGCUUGAGUCCGGGAGAGGUGAGUGGAACUGCGAGUGUAGAGGUGAAAUUCGUAGAUAUUCGCAAGAACACCAGUGGCGAAGGCGGCUCACUGGCCCGGUACUGACGCUGAGGUGCGAAAGCGUGGGGAGCAAACAGG